rfam:Erinaceus europaeus unplaced genomic scaffold scaffold00740, whole genome shotgun sequence
CAAAAGGCUCUUUUCAGAGCCACCAACAAUUUCUAUAGAAACUGCU